CUCUUAGAUUUGGUGUCAUGUUCCCCAGAGAGCCACAUUUUAGAGGCAGGGGCCCCCUCCUCUCUCUCCCCAGAGAGAUGCCUUUUAGAGGCAGGUCCCUCCUCUCUCUUCCCAGAGAGACACCUUUUAGAGGCAGGUCCCUCCUCUCUCUCCCAAGAGAGACUCAUUUUAGAGGCAGGUCCCUCCUCUCUCUUCCCAGAGAGACACCUUUUAGAGGCAGGUCCCUCCUCUCUCUUCCCAGAGAGACACCUUUUAGAGGCAGGUCCCUCCUCUCUCUCCCCAGAGAGACUCCUUUUAGAGCACUGACCCCUAAACAGAGAUCCAACAUGUUGGAACAGUAAUUCUUGAAUGUCAAUUGUCUCAUUUAUUCAUUAUCUCUUUGAGAAAUAAAACAUUUACUAACAGACAUAGAAACAGUCAGGUGAUUUAAUGCAUCACAUGAAUAUGUAGUUGUGACAUUUCAUCUCCAUGGCAACUGUCUGUAAUAAUAAUAAGUCACUGUUUGUUAAGGUAGUUAUAGACAGUACGGCAACAAUAAUAAUA
ensembl:lncRNA